GGGGGAGCGCCGGAUCCUGGGCUGUGUCCCCCGGCACCCUGGGCUCUGGGGCCUGCGCCACUGGAAUCGCCCUCCCGGCCAGGCAGCCCCUC
rnacentral:pre_miRNA from 1 species